rnacentral:rRNA from 1 species
AUUGAACGCUGGCGGCAUGCUUUACACAUUCAAGUCGAACGGUAACAGGCCUUCGGGUGCUGACGAGUGGCGAACGGGUGAGUAAUGCAUCGGAACGUGCCCAGAGGUGGGGGAUAACGCAGCGAAAGCUGUGCUAAUACCGCAUGUGAUCUGAGGAUGAAAGCGGGGGACCAAGCAGCAAUGUUUGGCCUCGCGCCUCUGGGCGGCCGAUGUCAGAUUAGGUAGUUGGUGGGGUAAAGGCCUACCAAGCCGACGAUCUGUAGCUGGUCUGAGAGGACGACCAGCCACACUGGGACUGAGACACGGCCCAGACUCCUACGGGAGGCAGCAGUGGGGAAUUUUGGACAAUGGGCGCAAGCCUGAUCCAGCAAUGCCGCGUGCGGGAAGAGGGCCUUCGGGUUGUAAACCGCUUUUGUACGGAACGAAAAGGCUCUGGCUAAUACCUGGGGCUGAUGACGGUACCGUAAGAAUAAGCACCGGCUAACUACGUG